GGCCGCACAGCGAGAACAUGUGGUUAUUCGAUGAUACGCGAGAACCUUACCGGGCUGAACUGCAGAGAAGGAUACAGAGAUGUUGACGCCUUCGGGGCUCCUGUGAGGUGCUGCAUGGUUGUCGUCAGCUCGUGCCGUGAGGUGUCGGCUUAAGUGCCAUAACGAGCGCAACCCCUCUCUUCAGUUGCCAUCAGGUCUAGCUGGGCACUCUGGAGACACUGCCACCGCAAGGUGUGAGGAAGGUGGGGACGACGUCAAAUCAGCACGGCCCUUACGUCCGGGGCUACACACGUGUUACAAUGGGUGGUACAGAGAGUAAGUCCCCAGCAAUGUGGAUUCAAUCAUGAAAGCCAUCCUCAGUUCGGAUUGGGGUCUGCAACCCGACCCCAUGAAGCUGGAUUCGCUAGUAAUCGCGCAUCAGCCAUGGCGCGGUGAAUACGUUCCCGGGCCUUGUACACACCGCCCGUCAAGCCAUGAAAGCCGGGGGCGCCUGAAGUCCGUGACCGCGAGGAUCGGCCUGGGGCGAAACUGGUGAUUGGGGCU
rnacentral:rRNA from 1 species